GCUGGUGUAGCUCAGUUGGUAGAGCAACGCAUUCGUAAUGCGUGGGUCGGGGGUUCGAGUCCCUUCACCAGCACCA
rnacentral:tRNA from 1 species